UGACAGGAAAACCAUUUGAACAAGAAAGAAGAGAAUGAUUAUGAUUGCCUUUCUAAACCAAACACAAAAUGAUGGUAGAAGAUGACAACAGGAAACUGCACACAGAAGUAUCCUGUGCUGACAUUUUGAGAAUGUACACAUACUGUGUACUACACAGCCAUCAGCGCGCGGAAUAAGGGAUGUAGAGUUGUAGGCAGAUGUUGAUAAAUCGAACAGAGCUGAAAUGCUUCCGUCACCCCAGUUAAAUUAUGUAACUUUGAAGAGCGCGGAGUAAUCCCCCGAUGCCAACGCGUCGUUUCCGCUGUUUCCCAGGUAGGAGUACGAGAAAGAGUCCGGCUCUGGGUAGGAAAGUAAAGUAAAGGGGCAGGGAAUCCGUUGUCGGCCAUGCACGAGUAAUUUCCCAUAUCCUCGCAUUUGACGGCAUUGAUGGCGGAUGACCCCGCUGACCCCACAGUCGAGAAUGACGG